AACCAGCACCUCAAGUGGUCAGGAGGAUUAUUGGGCCUAAAGCAUCCGUAGCCGGUUCUGUAAGUUUUCGGUUAAAUCCAUGUGCUCAACGCAUGGGCUGCCGAAAAUACUGCACAGCUAGGGAGUGGGAGAGGUAGACGGUACUCAGUAGGAAGGGGUAAAAUCCUUUGAUCUAUUGAUGACCACCUGUGGCGAAGGCGGUCUACCAGAACACGUUCGACGGUGAGGGAUGAAAGCUGGGGGAGCAAACCGG
rnacentral:rRNA from 1 species